GGAGAAAUUAAUAGUUACUGGACAAACAAAAUGAAGAUUGCUUGGAAAAGACCUAAGACUUUUGCAGCCCUCAAAAGACAACGCACUGAGAUACUUGAAAUUCUGGAUAGAUGAGGGAACACAAGCCUUUUCUCCUUCCCAAGGUUGCUCAACUUUACUAAGGUAUUCUGACACAUCAUGUCAGUACCACGGUUUGGUAAAACUAUCAAUUUACCACCAAACGUUUAAACUGUUAGCAUUUUCCCACCAUUCCGUUAAAACUCAGUUAAUAUGUAACGGAAAAUUUCUAAAAAGUCAAUUUUACCCCUGGAGCAUAAAAGACCAUAUAAUUAACUUUUUAUGAAUUUUGUAAUUAAAUCAUCAUUUGUUGUUCUUCCUUCUUAAAGGACAAAAAUUACCCUUUAUAAAUUUUAUAAAAUUGGCCGUGUAGUGCUAGGUACUUCAUAAAUUAAUUUAAUUUUUAAAGGGCAAAUUUAUUUAUUAAAUUGAUGAGCUCAAGACAAUUUAUUCUACUACUAAAAAUCAAUUUAUGAAAGGGAAAAAAAAAAGAAUGUGCAAACGAAGUAAUUUAAUCUUUGAUAUGAUGAUAAUAAUUUUACACAAAAAAUUAAAUAAAUAAAUUUUCCCUUUAAAAAUUAAAUAAAUUAAAUCAAUUUAUGAAGUACCAAAUACCACACGGUCAAUUUUACAAAAUUCAUAAAUGGUAAUUUUUGUCGUUUAAGAAUAAAGAAUAACAAAUGAUGAUUUAAUUACAAAAUUCAUAAAAGGUUAAUUAUAUGGUCUUUUAUGCUCAGGGGUAAAAUUGACCUUUUAGGAAUUUUCCGUUAGACUCCGCAACGUUUUAUCUUCUGACCCUUUUGGUUACGCUCAGCGAAGAACUUCAAUGUGGCAGUUGCACGAUGGUAACCAUCAGGAAACCCAACAUUCAAGCAAGGUUUAAAACCAAGUAUGACAUGAUCUGAAUCAAUGAGUUCUUCAAUAAAGAGCGAAUUGUAACCCAGAUCAACAUGUUUGGUUUCAGAGAGAGUCUCUAUUUCUAAGUCGAAUUGACACUUGACGUAAAAAAAACGAAAACAAUCAGAAUCAACUUGCUUUAAAUCAGGAACAGCACAAAAAGCAAACCCGAUUAAGUUUCUGCAAAAAGAGUGCGGUGGCAGUUGAAUACAUAUCGAAGAUCCUGAACUUUGAUUGCUGAACCAGUCAGGAAUUUCGCUCCCAGGUAAAACAAUUAGGGAUCCCCUGAGUUCAGAAAGUUUCUGUGAAAUGACAUUUAAAAAAUGAAAAUUGUAAGAUGAAAACCAUGAUUUCAGAUAUAACAAAGAGGGACAGAGUAAACAAGAGAGGGAAUUUGAUACCUCGUUGAUUGCCUUUUCAUAGCCCAGUCUCAGUGAUGCAAUUGCCAUAUGCCGAAUUCUUAGUUGUGAAUCUGCCAAAAUCUUGUUGUUUGCUUUUCCAUUCAGUUUCAAGCAGUUAGUAAACCCAAAAUAAAUUGGUUGUGACUCCAGACAUCCCGGUGCCCAUUGACGAAGGUCAGGAGAGGGUUUCGAUAGCUUUUCGAGUACGGAUGCAUCUAGUUCUUGUAGACAUGACGGAAUCUCUGGCAAAGAUUGGAGCCGGUUGCAGUUCCUUGCAUUUAGUGAUUGUAGACACAAUGAAAGUUCUGGUAAUGACCGAAGCAUGUUACAAUCCUCCAAGUUAAGAUAUUUUAGACACAAUGGAAGUUCUGGUAUUGACCGAAGCAUGUUACAACCCGUCAAGGCAAGAGAUUCUAGACACAAUGGAAGUGCUGGUAAUGACUGAAGCAUCUUACAAUCCGUCAAGUCAAGAGAUGUUAGGCACAAUGGAAGUUCUGGUAAUGACUGAAGCAUCUUACAAUUCUUCAAGUCAAGAGAACUCAACUGCGACAGUUGCUUGAUACUUGCAGGUAAACUCUCAAAGUUAUUUCCACUUAGAUGCAAGCCUGUCAGUGAGGAUAGACAGGCAAUCUCUUGUGGAAUUUCCAUUACAGCACAGUCACUUAUAUCUAGAAGUCCCAAAGAAGAUAAACCUAAUAAUAAUGAUCGAGGCAAUGAUGCCAAACCUUUGCAGCUAGAGAAAGAAAGAAUUCCAAGUACGUUUGAAUCUGUAACAGAGGAUGGUAGUUGACUAAUAGCUGAUUUAGCUGCUGAGAUGUAAUACAAAGAUUCUAAAUUGCCAAUGUUAUCCGGCAACUUAUCAAGUUUAGAGCAACCAUUUAUGAACAAUGAUUCAAGCCCCGGUAGAUUUUCAAAUGACGAUGGCAGCUCUGUAAUUGCCGUCCGGUCUAAAUAGAUGCGUUUUAAAUGUUCCAUUUUCUCCAAGAUUUCUGGGAAACGCUCAAGAUUCAAGCAGCCAAGAAGAAUAAGCCGAACCAAAGAUCUCAAUUUACAAAACCUAGUUGAAAUCCUCUUCAGCCGUCUGCAAUCCCUCAAAUCCAACUUUUCAAGAUCAGUUAGGCACUCUAUUGAUGAUGGAACUUCUUCUAUUGCAGACUGGCCUAAGUAUAGCCGUGUAAUUUUCCCAGAAAUCUGUGGAAACUCUAUGAGAUUAACACAAGAGGAGAAAUUAAUAGUUACUGGACAAACAAAAUGAAGAUUGCUUGGAAAAGACCUAAGACUUUUGCAGCCCUUAAAAGACAACGCACUGAGAAACUUGAAAUUCUGGAUAGAUGAGGGAACACAAGCCUUUUCUCCUUCCCAAGGUUGCUCAACUUUACUAAAACGCAAAUUCAGUUCAACAAGGUUCUUUGGCUUGAAAUUUGAUGGCAGUGUCCUUAAUGGAUAUGUGUCCCAAUGAAGAUAUCUCAAUUUUUUAGGAAGAUAAUAUAGGCCUUUUGGAAGCUGCACUUUAGAGUAUGAAAGUUGCUCUUCAAUACUCAUACUUAGAAGCUUUUCAAUCCCAUAAAACUUAG
rnacentral:lncRNA from 1 species